rnacentral:lncRNA from 1 species
AUGCGUAUUCUCGGCCGGGCGCGGUGGCUCACGCCUGUAAUCCCAGCACUUUGGGAGGCCGAGACGGGCGGAUCACAAGGUCAGGAGAUCGAGACCACGGUGAAACCCCGUCUCUACUAAAAAUACAAAAAAAAAUUAGCCGGGCGCGGUUGUGGGCGCCUGUAGUCCCAGCUACUGGGGAGGCUGAGGCAGGAGAAUGGCGUGAACCCGGGAGGCGGAGCUUGCAGUGAGCCGAGAUCGAGCCACUGCACUCCAGCCUGGGUGACAGAGCGAGACUCCGUCUCAAAAAAAAAAAAAAAAGAAAGAAAAAGAAAAAUGCGUAUUCUCUAUGCACGUCGUGUUUUCUAUGAACAAUAAAAUCUAAAUUGCAAACAGUGGGAUUUCAGUCUUUCAUAGCCUCAUUUGCAUUUUCUGGGGUAUGUGUCAAGUUUGCCAGAGUCGAGGGCCCUCUGUGACUGGGGUUCACGCCUCCCUGCAUGUCCACGCCUUCGUGUCCACAUUUUAGAGCAGUUGUGGAGAUGGACCCGCAUCACCUGCAUGUUCUGCCGCUGCGCCGGCCUGAGACCCUCGGCUUCCUGUACAGCCUCCUUAUGGCUAUUUCAGGUGCGUCCCUCAGAGCAUGGGGUGAAAUUUGCUUUUCUACAAAAGGUGUCCACCCAAGUGCCUGACCCAUGGUCUCCACCGCUCCGUGAGGCUGGCUGUGUGGUGGGGACUGACGGCCUCCUCAGGAGAAGCCGGUAAUGACCCAGGGAGUGGGCAUGGGCACUGCCAGACCAAAGAGAUCUGCGAUGGGCUCAAGAAGAGGCUGGGCUCCUGCUGCUGUGUCUGUGCCCGCCCAGGGGAGCUGCGUCCUGGCCUCAGGACCUCCCUCCUGGCCUGAGCAGCAGGGGUUGGGCCGGUCCAGCUCUCAGGAGCAUCCCAGGGGAAGAGCAAAGUUGCCCUCCUGUCUGCUCCAGGGAGACCCCCAGGCUGUGCCACCAGCAGGCGGCGUGGACAUUUGUGACUGUUGGAUCAGGGGCCUCAGGGAGAGCC